rnacentral:lncRNA from 1 species
UGUGACACACCUGCGGCUGAGGGCUCCCUGUCAGAGAACUCGGGAUUUCAGCUCCAAAUGGGGGAUUUCAGUGAUGUUCUGGGACGGAAAUGUUCACUUUCAGCAGGUGAGAUUAAGAAAAGUAAAAUUUAAGCAUAUUUACAGAGACAAAACUGAAGGUUUGCUUAUGUCGCAUUAUAUUUACGUUACAAUUCCUAAUUAAAAGUCUUUGAGAUCGUUUGGAGUAAAAAGCUUCGGACGCCCAUGUUGGUGUAUAGAGGGUAGUUUUUUUUAAUUAUUUUUUCUAAUCUGAGCUCAGCUUCAGAGAUUAUUGCCCCCACAGGGGCAGUAACACGUGCAGGGACCCAGCCACCGCCUGCUAGCAGCCGCUAACAGAACACCGCUCAAUAUGUGUGGGGCCUUGACUUUUGCCGUUCAGCUGUUCUUUAUAUGCUCUUUUUAUUAAAAUGAUAAUAACAAUAAUAAUACAACCAUAAGUGUACAAUCAUACUUUUCCCUAAGCAGCCAGUUGCAGAUACAAACUUUCCCUCUUCAGCUGGAAAUAGCAGCUAUAAUUGUAGCGGGUUGAUGCUGCAGAGGCGCCGGUGUCUUUCAGAAACGGUGACGGAGGCAGAACACAACAAGCUGAUCCAUUCCCGGCCUCCUAUUGUCCCACAGCGGCCGACUGUGCUGCAGACGCACCGCCGCCAUGUGCAUGCUCGUUUAAAGGCUCGCGGAGGUGCUGGAGACAGCCGGGGCCAUGGGGUCAGCGCCCGUGGAGGAUGGGCUCCGUCUGUUCACGGCCGAGGUUUCCACACCUGUCCGGCCCCCCUGCCGCUCCACGCCUCCACUCUCAAGGGAUGCAGGAGACCUGGAGAUUCACCACCAUAA